CCUACGGGAGGCAGCAGUAAGGAAUAUUGGUCAAUGGAGGCAACUCUGAACCAGCCAUGCCGCGUGCAGGAAGACGGCCCUCUGGGUCGUAAACUGCUUUUAUUCGGGAAUAAACCUUAUUACGUGUAAUAAGCUGAAUGUACCGAAGGAAUAAGGAUCGGCUAACUCCGUGCCAGCAGCCGCGGUAAUACGGAGGAUCCAAGCGUUAUCCGGAUUUAUUGGGUUUAAAGGGUGCGUAGGCGGCUUAUUAAGUCAGGGGUGAAAGACGGUGGCUCAACCAUCGCAGUGCCUUUGAUACUGAUGAGCUUGAAUGAACUAGAGGUAGGCGGAAUGUGACAAGUAGCGGUGAAAUGCAUAGAUAUGUCACAGAACACCGAUUGCGAAGGCAGCUUACUAUGGUUUUAUUGACGCUGAGGCACGAAAGCGUGGGGAUCAAACAGGAUUAGAUACCCUGGUAGUCCACGCCCUAAACGAUGAAUACUCGCUGUUAGCGAUAUACAGUUAGCGGCUAAGCGAAAGCGUUAAGUAUUCCACCUGGGGAGUACGCCCGCAAGGGUGAAACUCAAAGGAAUUGACGG
rnacentral:rRNA from 1 species